AGCGGCCCGACCCGCGGGCCUCCGACGCCUGAGCUGCGGCGUGAAGAGGGAAUGGGCUCCGUUCCAGCGGUUCUCAACCUCCUGGCCCUUUAAAUACAGUUCCUCAUGUGUGACCCAACCACCCUGAAAAUGGAUACAACAUCAAACACUGAGUCAAGCUCUGGAAGGUCAUUGGCAACACGCAUCCUCCGAGGAAUGCAACACCAUCGUGGGAAAUGAAGGGAUCCGGAUCAGAAGCCCCGUUGUCCGACGGAGUAAUCCACCGACAUACGAUCGUACCAGCCACGAUAAAUAAAAGGUUUUAAUAAAAUGUUA